rnacentral:rRNA from 1 species
UGGGGAAUAUUGGGCAAUGGGGGCAACCCUGACCCAGCGACGCCGCGUGGGGGAAGACGGCCUUCGGGUUGUAAACCUCUUUUGUACGGGAAGAAGGAAGUGACGGUACUGUACGAAUAAGUCCCGGCUAACUACGUGCCAGCAGCCGCGGUAAUACGUAGGGGACGAGCGUUGUCCGGAAUUACUGGGCGUAAAGGGCGCGCAGGCUGUGCUGCAAGUCAGCUGUUAAAUGUCUGGGCUUAACCCGGGCAUGCGGUUGAGACUGCGGUGCUGGAGUGCUGUAGAGGCAAGUAGAAUUCCCAGUGUAGCGGUGAAGUGCGUAGAUAUUGGGAAGAACACCGGUGGCGAAGGCGACUUGCUGGGCAGCAACUGACGCUGAGGCGCGAAAGCGAGGGGAGCAAACG